AUCCUAUGCCAGAGGUACAACACCAGUCUCACCCCCAUUCCGGCGUGGAGUUCUCUGAGUUCGGUGGCACUUGGGAUAUUCCACUUCAGUGCCAUGGGAAGAAAAUGGUAAGCAAAAAGCAAAAGGAAUAAUGCAAAAAAAAAAAAAAAAUUAUAAUGUUGUGGUAUCCAAUUGCUCCUGCUUCAGCCUUUUAUCCAAAGCCUUGAGAUGGAUCUGCCUCAUCCAGGAAGUUUUCCUGCUUCGUUAGAGUAUCUUCGUUUUCUUUAUCAGACGCUGGCUGGCACUCCACGCCAGUGCACGGCUCCAUGGAAUGCCUGCUGUUGGACACUUGCAGAGCUCUGCCACCAAGCAACCUCCUGCAUUGGAAAUCGGGGGACUACUCCAGGAUCUUAUGCGUGCUUGCUGUUUGAAGCUGCAGAAAAGUGAAUAAUCAAUUAAGUAUUGAUUUCUUGUAAGAUUUGGUAAAUUUCAAAGGCAAGACAAAGAGGAUGGCUUAAGGAAACACUGCAGGGACUUGGCGUAAAUUAGACAACUAACGGAAGCGCAGAAUAAAAUAACACCUCAACUGAAGAUUUCCUUGGAAGAAUUAGCACUAGCUAUUGGAAGACAAUGGUGGAUUUAAUCAAAACAGCAGGCAUGCAAGAAUUUUACCCGUGAACCAGAAAAAGGAGCUAAUUAUAACCACCUUUUUAAUGGAGCUAAUUUGACUGAAUGGAUGCAAAUGUGCUUUAUUUAUGGAUGAAGAAGCAAGCCUUACUGCAUGAUCUUGGGAUCAUCGGAUCUGCUAAGCUUUGCAGCUCCUGUUACCUUCAGUACAUUUUUUAUUUCCGGAGAAGGUAUUUGUAUGUAAACAACAACUAACCAUGCAAAAGAUUCAUCGGAACAAUAUACUGUGGUAUAUGAGAUAUAAUCAUAAUUUUGCAGCCUCUCAGGAUUUCCUCUAACUUGGAGGUUUUGCAACCUUUGUGUGCAAUGGGUUAUGGUAAACAAUAAAUGAAUGAUGCUAAAG
rnacentral:lncRNA from 1 species